UUGUUAGAAAGAAAUGAGAAGUCGGACCUGCCCGGUGAUUAGUUAUUUAACGGCCGCAGUACUCUGACUGUGCAAAGGUAGCAUAAUCAUUUGUCUUAUAAUUGGAGACUUGAAUGAAUGGUUUGACGAAAAUAUAGCUGUCUUUUUGUGAUUUUUUAGAAUUUUAUUUUUAAGUGAAGAAGCUUAAGUGGUAUUAAAAGACAAGAAGACCCUAUCGAGCUUGAGGUAGAUUGGUGAGUUUUAACUUAGAGGUUUUGAGGGUUUUAUUGCUGAGGACUUUGGUUGGGGCGACUGAGGAACAGUUUGAGCUUCCUAGGAUGGUGAGAAAUAGGUUGAUGUUGAUCCAGUAGUAUUUGAUUGUUAGAGUUGAGUUACCGUAGGGAUAACAGCAUUAUCUUUUUUGAGAGUUCUAAUCGAAAAAAAGGUUUGUGACCUCGAUGUUGGAUCAGAAUGUCCUAAAGGUGCAGAAGUCUUUGAGGGUUGGUCUGUUCGACCAUUAAAAUUCUA
rnacentral:rRNA from 1 species